rnacentral:rRNA from 1 species
CUUGGGUCCGGCAUAACCCCGGGAAACUGGGGAUAAUUCCGGAUAACGCACAUAUGCUGGAAUGCUUUAUGCGUCAAAUGGAUUCGUCUGCCCAAGGAUGGGUCUUCGGCCUAUCAGGUAGUAGUGGGUGUAAUGUACCUACUAGCCGACGACGGGUACGGGUUGUGAGAGCAAGAGCCCGGAGAUGGAUUCUGAGACAUGAAUCCAGGCCCUACGGGGCGCAGCAGGCGCGAAAACUUUACAAUGCGGGAAACCGUGAUAAGGGGACACCGAGUGCCAGCAUCAUAUGCUGGCUGUCCGGGUGUGUAAAAUACACCUGUUAGCAAGGGCCGGGCAAGACCGGUGCCAGCCGCCGCGGUAACACCGGCGGCCCGAGUGGUGAUCGUGAUUAUUGGGUCU